AGAGUUGAUUCUGGCUCAGGAUGAACGCUAGCGACAGGCUAACACAUGCAAGUCGAGGGGCAGCAUAGAAGUAGCAAUACUUGGUGGCGACCGGCGCACGGGUGAGUAACGCGUAUGCAACCUACCUAUCAGAGGGGAAUAACCCGGCGAAAGUCGGACUAAUACCGCAUAAAACAGGGGCACCGCAUGGUGAUAUUUGUUAAAGAAAUUCGCUGACAGAUGGGCAUGCGUUCCAUUAGGUAGUUGGUGAGGUAACGGCUCACCAAGCCGACGAUGGAUAGGGGAACUGAGAGGUUGGUCCCCCACACUGGUACUGAGACACGGACCAGACUCCUACGGGAGGCAGCAGUGAGGAAUAUUGGUCAAUGGGCGGGAGCCUGAACCAGCCAAGUCCGCGUGAAGGAAGAAGGAUCUAUGGUUCGUAAACUUCUUUUGCAGGGGAAUAAAGUGCAGGACGUGUCCUGUUUUGUAUGUACCCCGAGAAUAAGGAUCGGCUAACUCCGUGCCAGCCGCGGC
rnacentral:rRNA from 1 species